rnacentral:rRNA from 1 species
ACAGGGGGCCAUACCAACCUGAACAGGCCCGAUCUCAUCUGAUCUCAGAAGCUAAGUAGGGUCAGGCCUGGUUAGUACUCGAGAGAGGGAAUUAGACAACUGCAGCUUUGCUUCACUACUCAUGAAGCUUUUUCUU